CAAUAGCGUAUAUUAAAGUUGUUGCGGUUAAAAAGCUCGUAGUUGGAUUUCUGCUUGGGACGACCGGUCCGCCCUCUGGGUGUGCAUCUGGUUCGGCCCGGGCAUCCGCUUGUGGAACGUUUCUGCAAUUGACUUUGUGGGCCGGAACACAAGCCUUUCACUUUGAGGAAAUUACAAUGUUUCAAGCAGGCGCACGCCUUGAAUACUUUAGCAUGGAAUAAUAAGAUAGGACCUUGGUUCUAUUUUGUUGGUUUCUGGAGCUGAGGUAAUGAUCAAUAGGGAUAGUUGGGGGCAGUCGUAUUCAAUUGUCAGAGGUGACAUUCUUGGAUUUGUGAAAGGCGGACUACUGCGAAAGCAUUUGCCGAGGAUGUUUUCAUUGAUCAAGAGCGAAAGUUAGGGGAUCGAAGACGAUCAGAUACCGU
rnacentral:rRNA from 1 species